rnacentral:tRNA from 1 species
GACCGCGUGGUAGCUCAGUUGGCAGAUCAUUGGGCUAGUAUUCCAAAGGUCGUAGGUUCGAUUCCCACCGUGGCCG